AUCCAGCUGAUGAGUCCCAAAUGGGACGAAGUGCGCGUCCUGGAU
rfam:Schistosoma rodhaini strain Burundi genome assembly, scaffold: SROB_scaffold0000335